GCCACUGAGUCCUGUCUGUGAUACACAGCUUCAUUCAUUUUACUUUAUGAGGACGUCAUCGGUCAGUUCUUGCAAAAUUCCAAGGAGGCAGAAAGGCUGCUUGAUUGAGACUCAUUUCCCCUGGCUGUGGACUGACUUUAUUAUCCAUAAUUAAUGGUGAGUAACUCGGUAGAUGGUAUCCCUUUGUAAGCAUGAAUUUCUAACCAAAGAACAUCUUUCAGCUCCGAUCAUUGUUCAAUUGAAUGUUGCCAUGGGACUACAGCUAUUUAUUCCCGCACAGUGUUUUUCCAGAGAACUGUGAUGUGGCUCUGGUGACAGAGUGUAUGUUUCAUAGCUAUGCAAUCCUUUUCUUUUUUCCUCUCUCUCUCUUAUUUAACAAAGAGAAACAAAAGACCCUCACCAUAUGUGUAACAUUUCCCAUGAAUACGUUAGAAUGUCAGAAGGGAGACCGAUGCCGGAAGAUCCUGGCAGGGUAGAGGCCCCUCCUGACCGUUUCAUUUCUGUUUUCAUCUGGUGAUGUGCUAGAAAGUAGAUUUGACAUGAAGAACCGAAGAUCAUCCAGAAAUUGCUGAACACCCCGAUCGUGUGCAUCAGCGGUUCCAAACAGAUACAUCCUGGAAUAAUAAGCCCAUGGGUUUUAGAGUAAAUACGUCCCCUUUCUCCUCCUCAGCCAGGACCCUGGUGCCCGUCUAUUUCACAAUACAGAUGUGCGUAGGGAACAGCUGUUGGGUUUGCCUGCCUUUUAUUCAUCCUGUCUUUUUCAGCUAAAACACUUCAGUUUUCUUUUGGGGAUCCACCCCUCUCCGGGGGUGACAGUCAAAGUGUAUAACAACUGGAAUGACAUGGGUAUUACCACACCCACACAAUCGGAAUGGAUGCUGACUGUGACACCUGCUGAACCCAGAUUCGCUCAUCAGAUACUGUUUUGAUGAGUCCUGACAUCAAGAUGCCCUGGCCUUCCUUCUCUAAGGGCCAAGCAUGGACCGAGCUAAGCCAAACAGAUCCUCUGCCCUGAGAAUUUGCAUGCUGACAGGCAACACACGCAAGGGCCGAAAACAUGUGGCACAGGUGGGUCCCAAACGUGUUGCCUGGAAA
rnacentral:lncRNA from 1 species